rnacentral:rRNA from 1 species
UACGAAGGGUGCAAGCGUUAAUCGGAAUUACUGGGCGUAAAGCGUGCGUAGGCGGUUAUUUAAGUCUGUUGUGAAAUCCCCGGGCUCAACCUGGGAAUGGCAAUGGAUACUGGAUAGCUAGAGUGUGAUAGAGGAUGGUGGAAUUCCCGGUGUAGCGGUGAAAUGCGUAGAGAUCGGGAGGAACAUCAGUGGCGAAGGCGGCCAUCUGGAUCAACACUGACGCUGAGGCACGAAAGCGUGGGGGAGCAAACAGG